GAUGAACGCUAGCGGCAGGCCUAAUACAUGCAAGCCGGACGGCAAGUUGAGUAGCAAUACUUGACCUAGAGUGGCGUAAGGGUGCGUAACACGUAUGCAAUCUGCCCACAGCCGGGAGAUAGCCCUCCGAAAGGAGGAUUAAUAUCCCAUAGGAAGAUGAGAUGGCAUCAUUUUAUCUUUAAACUACGGGGCUGUGGAUGAGCAUGCGGUUGAUUAGCUAGUUGGCGGGGUAAAGGCCCACCAAGGCGAUGAUCAAUAGGGGACCUGAGAGGGUGAUCCCCCACACUGGCACUGAGAUACGGGCCAGACUCCUACGGGAGGCAGCAGUAGGGAAUAUUGGUCAAUGGAUGCAAGUCUGAACCAGCCAUUGUCCAAUAUU
rnacentral:rRNA from 1 species